rnacentral:rRNA from 1 species
CCUACGGGUGGCUGCAGUCGAGGAUCUUCGUCAAUGGGCGCAAGCCUGAACGAGCGACGCCGCGUGAGCGAUUGAAGGCCUUCGGGUUGUAAAGCUCGAAAGGGGUGAGAAAGCCCGCAAGGGUUGAUCGACCCCCAGUAAGCACGGGCUAAGUUCGUGCCAGCAGCCGCGGUAAGACGAACCGUGCGAACGUUGUUCGGAAUCACUGGGCUUAAAGGGCGCGUAGGCGGGCGUCUAAGUCCGCGGUGAAAUCCCCCAGCCCAACUGGGGAACGGCCGCGGAUACUGGGCGCCUCGAGCGAGGUAGGGGCGUGCGGAACAGAUGGUGGAGCGGUGAAAUGCGUUGAUAUCAUCUGGAACUCCGGUGGCGAAGGCGGCACGCUGGACCUCUUCUGACGCUGAGGCGCGAAAGCCAGGGGAGCGAACGGGAUUAGAUACCCU